GUAUUGGUAUGUUCUUCUUAUUCCGCUUAUCUCAUUCAAGCAAUGCCAUCACAAGGACACUGUGGAAACUGAAAUUGACAUUAGCCGAUAUUGCGGCUUUUGAGUGCGCAUGGUCGGAAUUGCUAACGUAUAUGGUUAGGCUUUCUUAUGAAACGUCUUUAUUGAGAAGAAGAAAAAAGAAAGGAGAGUUAUUGGAUUAGUUGGCAGAUAUUUUGUAUGAAAAUUGCCAGAAAUGUAAUGGCGUUUCUCUCUGGAAUUUAGCAAUACAGUGAUAUACGGAAUAAAGAAAUAAAAGGAAUAAACGUUUGGAUAGGAAAUGUGAAAAUAAAACUAGUGUACUUAAUUGUACAAUUAAUUUCAACAAACUGUAAAUGAAAAGAUUUUUAUUUGAUACUGAUAGAUCAUCUCGAUUGAUUUCAAUCUCGUUCAAAUCGUUUUCUUGAAAGACUGGCUACGAUUUCAAGAGGAGUGUUAGGGAUGGAGAAGGAAGACUUAAAGCGACAAGUGGAGAUGUUACGGAUCCAUAAGGACUUACAGCGAAUGUUUGUCUCUGACGCAGUGAAAGACAUGAUUUGCUUCAUUGACCAAAAUAUAAACGAAGAUGGUCUAAUAGUGCCUCCUGACAAGAAGAAGAACCCCUGGGAUAAUUCAAGAAAGUGUUCAAUACUGUGAAGUGAGACAGUUUUGUAAAUAUGAAAGGUCGCCCUUUUUGUAAUCAAUUAUCAUGUACAAAUGAGUUAGAAUAUAUGUGUGUAUAGAGUUUUAUAGAAAUUGUGUUGUAUUUAUUAUAAUCAGUAAUUCAUAUAGACCAUUAGCUUAAUUUUGUAGUGCCGAAAAUUCAGAGAGAAAAACAUCUUAUAUUUAUAUUUGACUAAAUUUCGAUGCCCUGACAGAGUUGAACAGUUGUAAAAUUUUCAAGCAUAUUAAAUUUUAUUGUUAAAAAUGUUAAAACGAUACCACAUUUUAAAACGAAACCAUUUGUUAAACGAUAUCUUAUUUACUAGAACGACUCUAUUUGAUCUAACUUUAUUAUAAUGUAUAAACAAUCACUUCGUCUGAUCUUGCUUCACUUGAUAUCACGUAACCAUAUGAGAUUAUUAGUGUAUUUUACAGUUACCAACUGAAAAUAGAAAAUGAAACUGUUUUCAGAAAAUUGUAGAAGUGUUAAAUUGUAAUGUUAUUCUAACAAUGUACUAAUAUAUAUCGUACUAAUUGUUCACAUAACAUCAUUUUCUUUAAAAAAAUCUUUUUACCAAUAUUCUUAAGAUGUAUAAUUACAGUUAUUUCCAUUUAUAUAUUUUGAAUCUGAGAGAAUUCGUUGAAGGUUGAUAUCAGCAAGUCUCGAAGGAAAUAAAUCAAUUUUAAACAUAAUUUGAACAGACUGUUUGUUUUGCCUUUAAUACCUUUCGGUUGAAUUACUUCAUUCUCACAAUUAAUUUGAUUAUCUUACAAAAUGCAUUUGAAUUCUGUCUGUAAUCAAAUAUGUACACGAUU